rnacentral:tRNA from 2 species
GCGGGUGUAGUUCAAUGGUAGAACUCCAGCCUUCCAAGCUGUGAAUGUCAGUUCGAUUCUGAUCACCCGCU